GCUGCACUUUGUCCGAUGUCAGCUUUGUCCUGAGGCUUCGUCUGAACUUGCUGUUUAAGUCUGAAGAACGGACUUCUCCCUUGACCGCCCUGGCCUGGCCCUUCCAUCUUUUCUGGGCGGAGGAAAUCUCUCAUUGGGUGAAGCACUUGAGACUCGAGCGUGAGGACGUGAGAUUGGAUUUCCGUCCACGUACGGGAGACGGCGCAGCACUCCUGUGGAGAAGGGAAUGCAGGACUGUAACCGCUGGUACAAUAUGAAUUGAACAAGUGAGGAUGGACGUUCUCGUCAGCCAUC